UACGUAGGGGGCAAGCGUUGUCCGGAUUUAUUGGGCGUAAAGAGCUCGUAGGCGGUCAGCACAAGUCAGUUGUGAAAUCUCCGGGCUUAACUCGGAAAGGUCAACUGAUACUGUGCGACUAGAGUGCAGAAGGGGCAACUGGAAUUCUCGGUGUAGCGGUGAAAUGCGUAGAUAUCGAGAGGAACACCUGCGGCGAAGGCGGGUUGCUGGGCUGACACUGACGCUGAUGCGCGAAAGCCAGGGGAGCGAACGGG
rnacentral:rRNA from 1 species